rnacentral:misc_RNA from 1 species
AGAAUCCCAAGGAAAAAUGUUGAGUCAGAGCAAUGAAAGUAAUCAGUCGUAUUUUGAAUAGUAUUCUAGGAGAUGCAUUAGGUAUGCUAGAAUCAAGCAAGAAAAACCUGAAAUGACUAAUUAUAUAUUAAAGAAAGUGAUUCAUUAUAAGCAUAUAUGAGACUAUUUAUCACUAGACGAUGACAUGUACUCGGUGCUUCAGCUUGAAUACUCUGCGUACAUGUUGGGUAAAACAUAAUGAAAUAUUAAUAUAAUGUAAUGAAAUAAAUUUUUAGUUCAUGAAAUUUUCUACCCAAUUUUUAUUUGAUUGCAUUUAAUUACAUUCUACAAAAAAUGACUAAUGGAACACAUGUUCCCCUUCACAGGGAUAAUCAUUGUCUCGUAAACAAUCUGCAAGCAUAAAC